AUAUUGAAAGCAUAUCAGAAUACUAUAAAUGUAAUGUUUAGUAGUCAAUCAUUACAACAUUCAAGAUUAUAUAAAGUAUCCAAUCCAGCCUCUGUCUCUUGUCCACAUCUUACUGUAUGCCUAUUUGUCAAUUAAAAAACACAUUUUCUGCCUCAAAUGGUCAAUUUAGAAUUCUUGUCACAACAGUAUCAUCUGUAACUAUAUAUCUGACACAAUUUAGCUAAUAUAUAUACUAGAAGUGUUCAAACAAAGCCAUAUUUGCAAUAGUUGUAUGUAUGCAGAUACCAGUCUGAGAUAUAAAUUCACUUAAAAUAUUGGAGAGAUGACUGCUAACAUCUGAUUUUUGCAUAACUUCCA
rnacentral:lncRNA from 1 species